rnacentral:rRNA from 1 species
AUUCCAGCUCCAAUAGCGUAUAUUAAAGUUGUUGCAGUUAAAACGCUCGUAGUUGAACAUCUGUCGAUAUUUGGUUUGGUCCGCUUCGGCGUGAACUUUCCGAUUUCGGCAUCCGUCUGCGUUGCUCACGCAGUGCAGACCGUUCACUUUGAGGAAAUUAGAGUGUUCAAAGCAGGCUUACGCCUUGAAUACUUCAGCAUGGAAUGAUCGAUAGGACUUCUGUUCUAUCCGUUGGUUCUAGGGACAGAAGUAAUGGUAAACAGGGUCGGUUGGGGGCAUUCGUAUUGAACAGUCAGAGGUGAAAUUCUUAGAUUUGUUCAAGACGAACAACUGCGAAAGCAUUUGCCAAGGACGACCUCAUUA